GGCCGGCUCCUCCUCUCCGGUGAAGGCACCGGCAGGGCAUCCGGCAACCCCAACCCCAAAACCACGAACGUGAUCUCCCAAGUGGCGCCAGCUUCCCGGCACGCCAGAGCUGUUCGCUAGGCUUGGAGCUCCGAAAUUGGAGAGCCUCUCGCCGGCGCUGUGCUAGGUGCUGAAAAGUUCAACCUCUGGAGUGUAACUGAAAGUGUCUCUGGAGUGUCCCCCCCCCAUUCCGGCAAGUGUGUGUGAGAGACCAGCAUUUCCAUUAGGAAAAGAUGAUGUCCAGUGAGGGUACUCAUCAACAAAAUGAAGACUUAGUCCAUAAAGAGAAUGCCACAGCAAGACAGAGACCAGUGCAUGGCUGGUGAUGCAUAUGUUCAGAAUUACAAUGUGAAGGACUGAAUGAGAAAAGAACUGAAAAAAAAGGAAAAUAUUGUGUCUGAAACUCUGAAGUGUGGUUGUUAGCUCUGAUAGUCUGUCAGGGCUAAGACAGAAAUUAAAAGAUGGCGACCACCAAAGACACAU